UGCUGGGAACAAGGGGCUAGUAACCCCUUCUCCUGUAUACAUUACUAAAUUUAAAAAGAGAAGCUUUCGUUUUUCUUUUUAGGUCACCCAGUGGGAUAUGGCUGGUUUGUUGAAAAAACAAAAGAUCAACAAUGCCACAGGAGAGAGCAUAAAAUGAUAAUUUUUCCACAAUAAAUGUCAGUGAUAUGCUGCUAGGAAAAAAUUAUAUCUGCCACUAUUUAUUAUGGAUUUUGUUGGUGAGACAAUGGUAUACAGUGGUAUUUUAAGUGCUGUCUUCAAAUUUUUGUUUUAUACUAAACAUUAAUAACAAAAAAAGGCACAGUACCGUGACUGGAACGAUACACAAAUAACCCGCACAUAGAAGAGAGGAGCUUACGACGUUUCAGUCUGACUUGGACUAUUUACAAAGUCACACUAACGAGAAGUAGAGCAGGACGGGUAUAUAUAGGCAGGAAGUGUUAGUGGUGGUAGUAGUAGUGGUGGUAAUAGUAGUGGCGAAAGUGUAAGGUAGUAGUAGUGGGGAAGAAAGGAGGAGGAGCCAGUCAAAUACUAAGAAAGGGGAGCACUGCAAGGGAGCUAGGUGCCCACAGAGAGAGAGAGCAAGAACACAGAGGUAGGGGGGAGGGGAAGUAAUAAAAUAAAUAAUGAAGGAACAGAAACACAAGGCAGAAGAAAGAUAACCCAGAAGAGAAAAAGGAAAGAGGAAAGGGGAAGAGGGAGAAGAAGAAAAAGAAAAAGAAAAAGGGGGAAUCAAGUGUGACUUUGUAAAUGGUCCAAUUCGUACCGAAACGUCGUCGUAAGCUCCUCUCUACUAAACAUUAUUUUUCUUUGCAGGACCACUAUUCUACCUCAGCCUGAAAUGCUCAAAACUAUGCUUGAAAAGUUCCGCGAGUUCCACACAAAUUUUAUUAAGCUUUAUGAAUGAGUAGCAGCUUCAGCAAAUAUCAUAUUGCACAUAUCUACGCACCUUUCAGACUUAACUGCAGCCAUGAGACCUAGUCACAAUGAUGUCUGACAAAAGAAAAUAUGUUUCAUUGUGAUAAUGGUUCUACAUAAAAUAUGUUUGGAGAUCUUUCGCAGAUUUUUUUUUUUUUUUUUUUAAUUUGUGUUGACUAAUUGUUUAUUAUAAUGCUGGCUCACUUAAAGCAAUUUAAAUGUGUUUUGAAUGUGUAUGUCAGGCUCACAUACUGCAGUAUAAAGUAUCUGACAGAACUCUUGCAUCAUUUUGCUUAUACUAUAUCAAAAUGAUGCAUGAAGUUCAAUUUUCAUAAAUUUCAAUACAUUUGAAUAUUUAUAAAAUGUAGUUAUUAAAAAUAAUGAUACGAGAUAGUAAAAUUCAAAAUUUUCAGGCACUUGUUGUAAUUGCACUAUUUUGUGUUGUAUAAAAAGUUUUGUUAGCAUUAUAAAAUGUAGAAUAGUAAUUUCAUUUAAAGUACCAAUACUGGUAAUUAUGUUGCCUUAAAAUAAAUGGAAUACACACACACACACAUAUGCUCAAUUUGAUAAUUGCAAUGGAAAGGUGAAAAGAUAUACCUGAUGGAAAAUUUGACAAUAAACAGUUCUAAGAUUUGUUAAAGCUCAAUACAUCUUGCAUUGGUAGCGAUGUAAUUGUAAAUUUUACUACAGUAAUAUAUUUACUGAUGAACAACUGAAUCAGUUGCUUAAUGUUUUGGUAGCUACUUUACAUACAAGUCUAAUUGAGAAAGCAUUGUAGUUGCCUGAGAGUUUGUACAGUGCAUAUAUUUUGUUAAGGUUUACUAUGUGGUGCCUUGGGUUACUUUUCAAUUGCUACUUAUGUGUAUUUUUUAUAGCCUGGAUUAGUCCAUAUGUUGCAAUAAAUAUGAAACUAGUGACCAACAUUUGAUACAUUUCUUUAACUCCUUUGUUUCUGGAAUUUCCCAUGACAGUCUAGCUUUAUUUACCCAAACUUAUUGGGAUUUUAGUUAAGUCUUUAAAAUUCAUUUAAUAAUUAGUACCAAUGAUAUAUAAAAUUUUACUUGCCAAGAAAUUAUCUUCAUUUCAACUUUUCUGAUACCAUUGUAGAUAAUUUAAGCAAGAAGUGCUACAUAAUUACAGCAAUAAUGCAUUUUAAAAAGUUUGUGUUUUUUGUAACUUGAAUAAUAAUUUCUCAUAAAAUGUGAAAGAACAUAUUUAUUUUAUAUUAAGCAAGAGUCAUUAAAGACACUUAUAAAUUUGCCCAUUAGAGCAAGGAAUUAUUAAUUUUUUGAUGAAUAUGCAGGUUUGUUGCCUCCCUCUGCCACUUGUAAACAAUUCUGUUUAACCAUGCAGCAUCACUGGUUAUAUUCAUCUAUCAGUGCUAUCUUGUCUCCCUCCCUACUUCUUCUCCACACCAUUUCCCUUCUCUUGCUCUCCUUUCUUACUUUUCCUUUCCUCUCUUAGUCAUCCAUUCCCUUUCAUGUAUGCCCUUCUUUAUUUUAAAUGAUAAUGAAUAAGAGGGAAUGAAGAACUCGAAUUUCUUAGCAAUAUAUUGCCUUUCUUCCUCACUCAGUUGUAAACCAACAACAAUAGACUUGCUUUCUGUACAUAAUAUUUUUUAAUGCCAGUCUUUUUUGUCUGUAAUAGUUACCAGCAUACAGAGGAGUUAUAGUUAUGAUCCUGAAUAGGCAUAUUGUCUCAGUAAAUAGAUAUUCUCUAAAAAAAUUUAUAAAAACAAGUUGCUUGUUGCACCUGUUUAUAUUUGCUAAACAAGGCUUGGGUUUAGCCCCAACUCUUUUCCUUUUUUCUUUAUUCUUUUCCUCUCUCCCAUCUAUUCAUCAAAUAUCCCCACUUCCCCCUCACCCCUAGUGGGUCCUUACCUGUGAGUCUUGUUUAGGCUUGGGUUAUCAGUUCACCCUAUCUUUCACUCAAAAUUUUCUGUUAAAUGAUGGGUAAAUAGUUUAGGCUAAUUAAUAGAGAGGGUUUGAUACAGAUGAGUUAGGGUAAAUGAGAUUUGACUCCAUGAAGAGUGUCUGGCACAAAUGGUGUCUGAGUAAAUUAAUUUCAACUUCACUAAGUAAUUUUAUGACCAGUAUAUAUCAUUUGCAAAAAUUUUGCACAAUAACUAUUAUUGCAUUGCCAUUUGAAAAUGCCACACUUUCCAGGCUCACUAAACCCUUGCAGUUUAGUGCUUUUUAAUUAUAUUAAUAAUAAUCCAGGUUUAAUAUGGUUAAUACUUGUCAUUCCUUGGAAUUGAAUCUUUGUACAUUAACUGAGGAACAUGGCAUCCCAGAUUUUUAUGGUAUAUUAAAAGGAAUAGAAAGCUAAAUAUUUGAUUUGAGAAGUAAUUGCUAAUGGAAGAAUUCUGGAGGAAUGAGUGUUUCAUCCAUGAAUUUUGUAAUUUUGACUGCUAAAGCUUUUGUAUUUUCAUAUACAUAUUGCACAUUUUUGUAAAUUUGAAAUACAGUACAUUGAGCUGUGAUAAACCUGACUCCCUACACAAUAGGCUUGAUGAGCAGGAACUAUGUAUAAAGAUUUAACACAUGCAAAUAAAAGGAUAAACAA